rnacentral:rRNA from 1 species
CGGAAUUAUUGGGCGGAAAGAGCGUGUAGGCGGUUUGGUAGGUCCGCUGGGAAAACUCGAGGCUCAACCUCGAGACGCCGGUGGAAACCAUCAGGCUAGAGUCCGGAAGAGGAGAGUGGAAUUCCUGGUGUAGCGGUGAAAUGCGCAGAUAUCAGGAAGAACACCCGUGGCUAAGGCGGCUCUCUAGUACGGUACUGACGCUGAGACGCGAAAGCGUGGGGAGCGAACAGG